GCCAGGAGCCUCGUCUCCUGCAAAGGAAAACCAGGACAGCUCAGGGAGUUUUCAUGUGUGGAAACAGUGAGUGAGAUGUUGGCGGAUCAGUUCAUUACUGUGCUGCAGAGAGAUUAAGCCCACGUGGUAAGCAGGUCGCAUAAAUAGUUAAUGAGCAGUGUAGACGCACAGUUGAUCCACGUCUUCAGACUCCUUAUUCUUUACACAGUUCCUACAUUCAGAGCACUCUAAUCAGCCCUGUGACCACUGGACUAAUCCACAACAUUCGCCUCUUCACAAAAUCCUGCAAAGCUCGGCAGAAGAAGGCUCCCUGGAACUGGUGUUACAAGUGGUUGUAAGAUGCCACGUGGGUGCUGGGAAUUGAACCCGGAAAAGCAGCCAAUGUUCCUAACCACAGACACUCGAUCCAGCCCCUCUAUCCCUUGUUUUUCGGUAAAUAAUAAUUAUGAAGUGACGUGAACGAUUGUUGGCCUAUCAAGAAUAAUUAAAUGAAGGGCCAUUGGUAGAGGCUUGCUUCAUUUCGUAUGGAGCAAUGCAAGCCCUAUGCCUGUGCUCUUUCCACUGUGGUAAAGUACCAGAAAUUGAUCUGGGCCAUCCAGAGCCUCUGAGUCUUUAAACAGUGAAAGAAAGAGCAAACUGCCGAAAGGUAACAGACAAAUGGCCCAUGCCCCUUGUUGGCUUUAUAGGGUAACAGCUGAUGGAGUGGGGAUCAAUGGAUUAGGAUUAGCAAAAUAUCAACUGGUGAAGCUGGGUGGUCGGUAUAUACAUAUGCUGUGCUUUUUGUGUGUCUGAAAGCUUUCCUUAAAAACAACAAAAAGCUAUGGGAAAAGAAGUUAGGUCUUUUCUCUUCCCAGUGCAGUGCCCUAAUAGCCUCCCCACAAUAGAUUCGGCCAUGCCAUCUUUUAAAAAGUAUAAUACAAGAUGCUGCAUGCCUGUAAUCCUGGCACUCAGAAGACCGAGGCAGAAAGAUUGCAAGUUGGAGACCAGCCUGAACUCCAUAGUUGUUGUCCUAAGACAACAAAAAAGAAGGGAGAGACACACAGGUUAGUAGAAAACAAUGUCUAUUAGACUGCUCCUAAGCAGGUCCAGGACCCUGAACCAAUGGAACAUCCCAAAAGAGGGCUUGAAAUCUCUGCAAAGAGGCCGAAGUGUUCAGUGCCUGGCCCAGAGCAUGUGAGGCAGAUACUAUCAAUGACAGAUAUUAUCCAUGUUGUUAUAGAUGCUGUAAGGGUAGCCAAGGGCAUGCUGGUCCAGAGGGAAGGAGAGAGACUCAGGGAACAGAAUACCUUCUGGGUAUCUCAUCAGAAACUGUGCUAGCCCCUGUAAGUGGGCAUGCACAGAGAAGGGUGAGUCUUUGUCUCCACAGGGACUACGCCAGCAAUGUCUGUUGGCCUGGCUGUUUCAGAUCAUGCUGACCGUAUUAUGCAUCCCACCGGGAAAAGGGAGCAUUAAUACAGAGACAGG
rnacentral:lncRNA from 1 species